UAAGCGUACACGGUGGAUGCCCUGGCAGUCAGAGGCGAUGAAGGGCGUGCUAAUCUGCGAUAAGCGCCGGUAAGGUGAUAUGAACCGUUAUAACCGGCGAUACCCGAAUGGGGAAACCCAGUGUGACUCGUCACACUAUCAUUAACUGAAUCCAUAGGUUAAUGAGGCGAACCGGGGGAACUGAAACAUCUAAGUACCCCGAGGAAAAGAAAUCAACCGAGAUUCCCCCAGUAGCGGCGAGCGAACGGGGAGGAGCCCAGAGCCUGAAUCAGCAUGUGUGUUAGUGGAAGCGUCUGGAAAGGCGCGCGAUACAGGGUGACAGCCCCGUACACAAAAGCGCAUGUGCUGUGAGCUCGAUGAGUAGGGCGGGACACGUGGUAUCCUGUCUGAAUAUGGGGGGACCAUCCUCCAAGGCUAAAUACUCCUGACUGACCGAUAGUGAACCAGUACCGUGAGGGAAAGGCGAAAAGAACCCCGGCGAGGGGAGUGAAAAAGAACCUGAAACCGUGUACGUACAAGCAGUGGGAGCCCCACCACCAAAGCAUUUGCUGUACCGCGUUGACGGAGCGAAGCGACGUCAAACCGAUAAAACAGCAGUGUAAAGUGAGCCGCAGGGCGCUUUGCGCGACAGCGCAAAGGCAGGCGGUUUCGCGUAGCGAAAGCGAAUGCUUUGGGGUGGGGUGACUGCGUACCUUUUGUAUAAUGGGUCAGCGACUUAUAUUCUGUAGCAAGGUUAACCGAAUAGGGGAGCCGGAGGGAAACCGAGUCUUAAUUGGGCGUUAAGUUGCAGGGUAUAGACCCGAAACCCGGUGAUCUAGCCAUGGGCAGGUUGAAGGUUGGGUAACACUAACUGGAGGACCGAACCGACUAAUGUUGAAAAAUUAGCGGAUGACCUGUGGCUGGGGGUGAAAGGCCAAUCAAACCGGGAGAUAGCUGGUUCUCCCCGAAAGCUAUUUAGGUAGCGCCUCGUGAAUUCAUCUCCGGGGGUAGAGCACUGUUUCGGCUAGGGGGCCAUCCCGGCUUACCAACCCGAUGCAAACUGCGAAUACCGGAGAAUGUUAUCACGGGAGACACACGGCGGGUGCUAACGUCCGUCGUGAAGAGGGAAACAACCCAGACCGCCAGCUAAGGUCCCAAAGUCAUGGUUAAGUGGGAAACGAUGUGGGAAGGCCCAGACAGCCAGGAUGUUGGCUUAGAAGCAGCCAUCAUUUAAAGAAAGCGUAAUAGCUCACUGGUCGAGUCGGCCUGCGCGGAAGAUGUAACGGGGCUAAACCAUGCACCGAAGCUGCGGCAGCGACACUGUGUGUUGUUGGGUAGGGGAGCGUUCUGUAAGCCUGUGAAGGUGUGUCGUGAGGCAUGCUGGAGGUAUCAGAAGUGCGAAUGCUGACAUAAGUAACGAUAAAGCGGGUGAAAAGCCCGCUCGCCGGAAGACCAAGGGUUCCUGUCCAACGUUAAUCGGGGCAGGGUGAGUCGACCCCUAAGGCGAGGCCGAAAGGCGUAGUCGAUGGGAAACGGGUUAAUAUUCCCGUACUUGGUGUUACUGCGAAGGGGGGACGGAGAAGGCUAUGUUGGCCGGGCGACGGUUGUCCCGGUUUAAGUGUGUAGGUGUGUGUUCCAGGUAAAUCCGGUUCACUUUAACACUGAGGCGUGACGACGAGGCACUACGGUGCUGAAGCAACAAAUGCCCUGCUUCCAGGAAAAGCCUCUAAGCAUCAGGUAACAUCAAAUCGUACCCCAAACCGACACAGGUGGUCAGGUAGAGAAUACCAAGGCGCUUGAGAGAACUCGGGUGAAGGAACUAGGCAAAAUGGUGCCGUAACUUCGGGAGAAGGCACGCUGACACGUAGGUGAAGUGAUUUACUCAUGGAGCUGAAGUCAGUCGAAGAUACCAGCUGGCUGCAACUGUUUAUUAAAAACACAGCACUGUGCAAACACGAAAGUGGACGUAUACGGUGUGACGCCUGCCCGGUGCCGGAAGGUUAAUUGAUGGGGUCAGCGCAAGCGAAGCUCCUGAUCGAAGCCCCGGUAAACGGCGGCCGUAACUAUAACGGUCCUAAGGUAGCGAAAUUCCUUGUCGGGUAAGUUCCGACCUGCACGAAUGGCGUAAUGAUGGCCAGGCUGUCUCCACCCGAGACUCAGUGAAAUUGAACUCGCUGUGAAGAUGCAGUGUACCCGCGGCAAGACGGAAAGACCCCGUGAACCUUUACUAUAGCUUGACACUGAACAUUGAGCCUUGAUGUGUAGGAUAGGUGGGAGGCUUUGAAGUGUGGACGCCAGUCUGCAUGGAGCCGACCUUGAAAUACCACCCUUUAAUGUUUGAUGUUCUAACGUGGACCCGUUACCCGGGUUGCGGACAGUGUCUGGUGGGUAGUUUGACUGGGGCGGUCUCCUCCUAAAGAGUAACGGAGGAGCACGAAGGUUGGCUAAUCCUGGUCGGACAUCAGGAGGUUAGUGCAAUGGCAUAAGCCAGCUUGACUGCGAGCGUGACGGCGCGAGCAGGUGCGAAAGCAGGUCAUAGUGAUCCGGUGGUUCUGAAUGGAAGGGCCAUCGCUCAACGGAUAAAAGGUACUCCGGGGAUAACAGGCUGAUACCGCCCAAGAGUUCAUAUCGACGGCGGUGUUUGGCACCUCGAUGUCGGCUCAUCACAUCCUGGGGCUGAAGUAGGUCCCAAGGGUAUGGCUGUUCGCCAUUUAAAGUGGUACGCGAGCUGGGUUUAGAACGUCGUGAGACAGUUCGGUCCCUAUCUGCCGUGGGCGCUGGAGAACUGAGGGGGGCUGCUCCUAGUACGAGAGGACCGGAGUGGACGCAUCACUGGUGUUCGGGUUGUCAUGCCAAUGGCACUGCCCGGUAGCUAAAUGCGGAAGAGAUAAGUGCUGAAAGCAUCUAAGCACGAAACUUGCCCCGAGAUGAGUUCUCCCUGAGACUUAGAGUCUCCUGAAGGAACGUUGAAGACGACGACGUUGAUAGGCCGGGUGUGUAAGCGCAGCGAUGCGUUGAGCUAACCGGUACUAAUGAACCGUGAGGCUUAACCUUACAACGCCGAAG
rnacentral:rRNA from 1 species